ensembl:lncRNA
CUGAGAAGAACGGAUGACGUAUGAACUAGACCUCAGACGCCAAGAAGAACCACAGCAACUGGAAGGAUCUCGAAUUACACCAGAGAAGGGGCCGUUAAAACAAAAGGUUCUCUAGAUGAAGGGUGUCUGGGUCUGUAAAGGUCGACAAACCCGUGAUACAAGGUACUAUCUGAAAGACCCUCUGCGUCUGCUCUCACGGUUGUCAUGGUUUGUUUCCACUCUCUCAGAAAACAAUCACAUCUCUGUUGUUCUGCUCUGGAGAGUCUCCUUCAGCCUGCGAGUCGCUGCAUUCGCUGAUUGCUCUCUUUUGCUGCUGUUACCUCAAAUAUAAUAUUUCGAGGCUCAUUUGAAUGGUCCUGCAUCUGAUAUCACACAACAUAAUAAGCUGAAG